rnacentral:rRNA from 1 species
GACGAACGCUGGCGGCGUGCUUAACACAUGCAAGUCGAGCGGUAAGGCCCUUUCGGGGGUACACGCGCGGCGAACGGGUGAGUAACACGUGGGUGACCUGCCCUCAGCUCUGGGAUAAGCCUGGGAAACCGGGUCUAAUACUGGAUAUGACUCCAUGACGCAUGUUGUGGGGUGGAAAGCCUUGUGCGGCUGAGGAUGGGCCCGCGGCCUAUCAGCUUGUUGGUGGGGUGANGGCCUACCAAGGCGACGACGGGUAGCCGGCCUGAGAGGGCGACCGGCCACACUGGGACUGAGACACGGCCCAGACUCCUACGGGAGGCAGCAGUGGGGAAUCUUGCGCAAUGGGCGAAAGCCUGACGCAGCGACGCCGCGUGAGGGAUGACGGCCU